AAAAAGAAAAACUAACUUGGUAUUUUCAGGAAGAUGAAAGGGUUUUAAGUUCAAUCCAACGGUUCAAACAAUCAACCGUCGCACUCUCUACAAACAGCCGCCAUCGGCGAUCCACGCCACCGCCGGCAUUUAUCGGCGAUAAGCUGGCUUCCUCUGAAAUCUCUUUAAGAGUACAGGCGUAAACACGUUUAAGACUGCCAUUAACGGGCUCAGCUUCGAGGGGUCAGGAUAACCAUGCCGCUCUAUGAUUGUAUGCUUCUGUUCAAACCCAAUGUACAGCAGGUAGCUC